rnacentral:rRNA from 1 species
GUGCCAGCCGCCGCGGUAAUACGAGAGGCCCAAACGUUAUUCGGAUUUACUGGGCUUAAAGAGUCCGUAGGCGGCGCAGAAAGUGGGGUGUGAAAUCCCUCGGCUCAACCGAGGAAUUGCGCUCCAAACUCCUGUGCUUGAGGAACCUAGAGGUGAGCGGAACUGAUGGUGGAGCGGUGAAAUGCGUUGAUAUCAUCAGGAACACCGGAGGCGAAGGCGGCUCACUGGGGGUUUUCUGACGCUGAGGGACGAAAGCCAGGGGAGCGAACGGGAUUAGAUACCCCGGUAGUCC